rnacentral:rRNA from 1 species
UAUUGCUAGUUACCAUCAUUAAGUUGGGGACUCUAGCGAGACUGCCAGUGAUAAACUGGAGGAAGGUGGGGAUGACGUCAAAUCAUCAUGCCCCUUAUGACCUGGGCUACAAACGUGAUACAAUGGCUGGAACAAAGGGAUGCGAAGCAGUGAUGUGGAGCGAAACCCAUAAAAAACAGUCUCAGUUCGGAUUGAAGUCUGCAACUCGACUUCAUGAAGUCGGAAUCGCUAGUAAUCGCGGAUCAGCAUGCCACGGUGAAUACGUUCCCGGGCCUU